UAUAAUUAAGUGUUAUUGCACGAAAAUUUUUGAAAUUUUAAGUUUAGUUAAAUUCUAAAAUUAUAA
rnacentral:tRNA from 1 species